rnacentral:rRNA from 1 species
GAUGAACGCUAGCGGCAGGCUUAACACAUGCAAGUCGAGGGGCAGCAUGAAGGUUAGCAAUAACCUUUGAUGGCGACCGGCGCAAGGGUGCGUAACGCGUGAGCAACUUGCCCGUUUCUGGGGAAUAACCGGUGGAAACGCCGACUAAUACCCCAUGGCAUCAGAAUGAGGCAUCUCAAUCUGAUUAAAGAAUUUCGGAAACGGAUAGGCUCGCGUGACAUUAGCUAGAUGGCGGGGUAACGGCUCACCAUGGCGACGAUGUCUAGGGGUUCUGAGAGGAAGGUCCCCCANACUGGAACUGAGACACGGUCCAGACUCCUACGGGAGGCAGCAGUGAGGAAUAUUGGUCAAUGGUCUGACGACUGAACCAGCCAUGCCG